rnacentral:rRNA from 1 species
CCAGACUCCUACGGGAGGCAGCAGUGGGGAAUAUUGCACAAUGGGGGAAACCCUGAUGCAGCAACGCCGCGUGAGUGAGGAAGUAUUUCGGUAUGUAAAGCUCUAUCAGCAGGGAAUAGAAAAGAAGGUACCUGAAAAAGAAGCCCCGGCUAACUACGUGCCAGCAGCCGCGGUAAUACGUAGGGGGCAAGCGUUAUCCGGAUUUACUGGGUGUAAAGGGGGCGCAGACGGCAGCGCAAGCCAGGAGUGAAAGCCCGGGGCCCAACCCCGGGACUGCUCUUGGAACUGCGCGGCUGGAGUGCAGGAGGGGCAGGCGGAAUUCCUGGUGUAGCGGUGAAAUGCGUAGAUAUCAGGAGGAACACCGGUGGCGAAGGCGGCCUGCUGGACUGCGACUGACGUUGAGGCCCGAAAGCGUGGGGAGCAAACAGGAUUAGAUACCCGCGUAU